CGGUGGCCAAGUGGUUAGCGCACUUGCCUUUCACCUCUGAGGCUGCAGGUUCGAGUCUCACUAAGUACCUUCUCUGUGCGACUCGAACCCAGUCCCCAUGUGAAAAGAGUAAAAGUCAACGCUCUGCCGAAAGCCGUGGGUUUUCCCCGGGUACUCCGGUUUCCUCCCACAGGAAAAGUUGACAGGGUGGGUUAGAUAAAAAGGGCCCACAGUAAUUGGCAUAUGCUGUUGUGGUGACCCUGCCCUAGUUGGCAAAGCC